UACAGAGGUCUCAAGCGUUGUUCGGAUUCAUUGGGCGUAAAGGGUGUGUAGGUGGCGCCGUAAGUCGGGUGUGAAAUUUCGGAGCUUAACUCCGAAACUGCAUUCGAUACUGGCCGUGCUUGAGGACUGGAGAGGAGACUGGAAUUUCGAUGGUGUAGCGUGAAAUGCGUAGAGUAUCGAUGAAGGAAGACCAGUGGCGAAGGCGGGUCUCUGGACAGUUCCUGACACUGAGACACGAAGGCCAGGGGAGCAAACGGG
rnacentral:rRNA from 1 species